UACGAAGGGGGGCUAGCGUUGCUCGGAAUUACUGGGCGUAAAGGGCGCGUAGGCGGAUAGUUUAGUCAGAGGUGAAAGCCCAGGGCUCAACCUUGGAAUUGCCUUUUGAUACUGGCUGUCUUGAGUUCGGGAGAGGUGAGUGGAAUGCCGAGUGUAGAGGUGAAAUUCGUAGAUAUUCGGCGGAACACCAGUGGCGAAGGCGACUCACUGGCCCGAUACUGACGCUGAGGCGCGAAAGCGUGGGGAGCAAACAGG
rnacentral:rRNA from 1 species